rnacentral:rRNA from 1 species
UACGUAGGGGGCAAGCGUUGUCCGGAUUCAUUGGGCGUAAAGAGCGUGUAGGCGGCCAGGUAGGUCGGUUGUGAAAACUGGAGGCUCAACCUUUGAAAGCCGGUGGAUACUGCAUGACUAGAGUACGGAAGAGGCGAGUGGAAUUCCUGGUGUAGCGGUGGAAUGCGCAGAUAUCAGGAGGAACACCAAUAGCGAAGGCAGCUCGCUGGGACGUUACUGACACUGAGGCGCGAAAGCGUGGGGAGCGAACAGG